AUGUGCACCAAGUCUCUACAGACAGAAGCUAUGCCUGCCCCAAAGGUGCCAAAACCAAAGAUCCCUGAGCAGCUGAGGCAAGAGCUGCUGCAGCAGAAGCCCAACGAGACCCAAGAGAGGCAAAGGCUCAUGAUACCUGAGCGACUGAGUCAGGAGUUGCUGCAGCUGUCGGCUCGAGCCUCUUCUGUUCAAGGAGCACCUGCACCCAACGAGACCCAAGAGAGGCAAAGGCUCAAGAUACCUGAGCGACUGAGUCAGGAGUUGCUGCAGCUGUCGGCUCGAGCCUCUUCUGUUCAAGGAGCACCUGCACCCAACGAGACCCCAGAGAGGCAAAGGCUCAAGAUACCUGAGCGACUGAGUCAGGAGCUGCUGCAGCUGUCGGCUCGAGCCUCUUCUGUUCAAGGAGCACCUGUGCCUCAAAAGACCCCAGAGAGGCAAAGACUAAAACUCCCUCAGCCGCUGAGGCAGGAAUUCCUGCAGGUUUCGUCUUGUGCCUCUUCUGAGAAGGGAGCACCUGUGCCUCAAAAGACCCUAGAGAGGCAAAAGCUCAAGAUGCCUGAGCGACUGAGGAAGGAGUUGCUGCAGCAGAAGCAUCAAGCCUCUCCUGUACAGGGUGCUCCCAUGCCUUCCAAGUCCCCACAGGAAGCACCUUUACCUGACAGGAACCCUGUGCAUGCCGGGACCCCACAGGGAGCAGGAGUGUUUGCAGAGGCACUGUCCGCUGAGCCUCUGAAAGGAAUAACAGUUCCCUCCAGAACCAUGAAGACAAGAAAACGGAGGCUUUCUGAGCAUCAAAGCAUUCCUGUCUCUGCCACCCAGGCACUACCCAUGCCCUCCAGGACCUCAAGCGUGACGCCUGUGCAUUCUGGGACCCUACAGGGAGCACUUGUGACCAAAAGUUCCCCACAACAGGGAUCAAAUCCCAGAAUCACUGAGCAGCAGAGGCAGAAGCGGAGGGAGCAGUGGAGACAGCAGCAGAGACAGCGGAGGCAGCAGAAAGCAUCAGUAAGUCCCUUCCAUCUCUUGUUUUUACUUAUUUUCAGAUUUAUUCUAAAAAAUUAA
ensembl:lncRNA